CAAACUGGAGAUGGCGACCGGCGCACGGGUGAGUAACACGUAUCCAACCUGCCGAUAACUCGGGGGAUAGCCUUUCGAAAGAAAGAUUAAUACCCGAUGGCAUAAUAGAACCGCAUGGUUUGAUUAUUAAAGAAUUUCGGUUAUCGAUGGGGGAUGCGUUCCAUUAGGCAGUUGGUGGGGUAACGGCCCACCAAACCUUCGAUGGAUAGGGGGUUCUGAGAGGAAGGUCCCCCACAUUGGAACUGAGACACGGUCCAAACUCCUACGGGAGGCAGCAUG
rnacentral:rRNA from 1 species